UUUAUUUUCUGCUUAAAGACAGACCUCAAGGGUUGACGUGCUGGGCAUGCCUCAAGAGCCGAUGAUUAAGAAGGAAACGAAGCAUUUCCUGCCCAUCCCCCCCAGCACAAAUAUUGCUUAAAAUAUCCAAAUGACGUGGAGUAACUGGCAUCUUCCUCCAGCAUCUCUGUCUGCUAUUGUGAAUUAUACUCUUGUGGUUUAGCCCUCUCCAAAGGGAGGUCCUGGAGAAAUAUCCUAAUACACCUAUGAGCCAUAAAGAGAUCCUUCAAGUUAUCCAGAAAGAAGGACUUAAAGAAAUCAGUGUCAUCUGGAGCAGUGUGUGGUUCUGCCUUGGAGCUCUUCCUGUUCCCCCCCAAGGAGCAGGCUGAGUCUUUGGUGUGUGGGCAAAGGAGGGCACAAACUCAGGUGAUGCUGAUCUGCGUUAGGAAAACAGAGCAACUCGGGUGACAACCCCCGAGCUGCUGCUACCGUAGCUUAAUUCUUGAGUCUGUGCUCAUAGUAUUUCCCAGAGAUGGACCAGUGUAUUUAGGGAGAUAUAAGGGCAACUGUUCCCUGAAGUACAAAGUAUUUAUAUUCCUGUUUUCCAAGAACAAAGAAAAAGGGGGAGGGAAAAGAGGAUUGGAUGUGCCAGUUCAUCUGUUUUGGAAUGGAGUAGCCAUCCUGAAGUUGGCUUCAUUUUGUUUUUCACUACACUUUGCCAGUUUAAUGCAGCAAUCCAUCUGCUGUGGCAGAAAUACUCAAGGCCCGAGUGCAGAAAUUCUGCUGUCGAUAGCAAGACCUUCCACUCAAGUGGUGGACAACACAGAGGUGGUCUGGGUUUUGGGAAGUCAGUUUAUCUAAAAGUAAGGGAGCCAAAUACACCCAUUUUAGCUCUUGGGGAGGUGACAGAAGUGGGGCUUUGUUCCUGAGAUGCGCUUUGCUUUGGGGCAGUACCACAUUAAGAUGAAAGGUUUACCAGCCUUAGGACAGCUUCAGUGUUGUGUUAAAUACUGUUAAUCCAUCAAAGGCCUGUCUGCCUUGUGGCAGCCCCUUGUGCAUUCCCAAGCAUAGACAUGCAGAUGUCUGUACUGGUGGUCUCCUGAUGGCAAAGCGAAAGUCUAGCCAACACCCAGGCACUUGGAUGGUGAACCUUUUUAGCAAUUCAGAGUGCUCUUCUUGGGGGAGAGCCUUAGGCAGGAACUCAGAUGUGGUGUAAAAGAGCCAGUCUCUGGCUGGCCAGGCCAGAUUUUGGACUGAACAGUCAAAAAAAA